GGGACCAAGGGGCUCACAGAGCAAGAAAGAGCAUCCGAUGCAGACUAUCAAUGAUCCAGCCUUUUAACAUUCUUGAAACAAAGAAAGACUGUGGGAAUACAGAGUGGCAUCUGCCUUGAACUUGGGUACCCGGUUGGAAAGGUAAUCUGGUCAGAAGGGAAGGACGAGUUUGAAGAUAUUAAGAACAAAGCAGGACAGAUUUAGGAAUGCAAGAAGAAUAUUUCACCAGUGUCUAAGGUGCCAAGCACAUUGAGGCUGCUGCUUGGUGGUGUCGCCUUACCCUGGGCUUGGACACCCAACACUUCGCUGGGAACGUGGGCUAGAGCACGCACUCCAUUCCUAGAGGAGCUGGUGUUUGGCUUUCUCCCAGGACGGCGCAUGGAAAGUGAGACUCCCCCACUUCGAGCGUGCACCACCUCCCAUCAUCCAGCUUAAGAAAGAGACUCCUACGUGAGACAAGUUGAGAAACUUCACACCAACCAGAGCAUGCAUGACCUUGCAAAGAAGGGUGAUGACUGUGGUCAACAAUUAAUUGACUGCUUCAAAAUAGCUAUUAGGCAGGAAUCUGAGUGUAUCAAAUUAAUGUCUGUGAUAGAUAUGCCAAUGACCUCAACCUUUAUACAUUUACCUAUGCCUUUGAGUAGCAUACUCAAACCCCAGAAUAUGAACAAUUUCUAUUUAACAUGGAACUUCUUAAAGGCUAAAUCAAGACCUUCAUUGGCAGAGCUCUGUCUUGAUAAGUUUUCUAGUCAGCAUGUGGUACCAAUUCAAGAAUCAUUCUACAUCCCAAAGUUUAAAUUCUGAUAACAUUCCAAAAGCCAAAAUUCUCAUCUAAGUCAGUACGAGAGUUCAAUCUGAAUGUGUGUACUCUCCCUACAGUGUUCAUUUCUCUCCACUCACUAAGAAUCUGUGUUCCAAAGGCUUGGCUUCCCCAGCCAAGUGCAGCAGGCCAUGAAAAACUGCAUGGCUACUCUCCAUAAACCUACAGUGAUGUUCCAAUUCCACAUUUACCAGCUUACGCAAGAACAUGAAGCAAAUUCCAAAGCAUAAAAAUUCUUACCCCUGUAAAAGCACUGCGUUGAAAAUCUUAGCUCCAUUCACCAUGUAAAUGGCUCUUCCAUACAGCCUCAAGUGGCCUCAAGUAUCCACAUA